GGUUCCAAAAUAUGGAAAAAUUGAUCCGAAACUUGAAUCAGAUUGUAUUGGAUUGGCUUGUAUCCAAAAAACAAAUGUUUUAGCUUGGAAUAGCUAGCGUCGGACGUUCCGACGUUGUAUUGGAUUGGCUUGUACCCGAGAAACAAGUGUUCUAGCUUGAAAUAGCUAGAGUCAGAGGUUUCGAUAUUAUAUUCAGGUUGAAUACAGUUUAGUGGAUUUGAAUUUCCAAAUAGGAGCUUGGAG
rnacentral:lncRNA from 1 species